UACGGAGGGAGCUAGCGUUGUUCGGAAUUACUGGGCGUAAAGCGCACGUAGGCGGCUUUGUAAGUUAGAGGUGAAAGCCCGGGGCUCAACUCCGGAACUGCCUUUAAGACUGCAUCGCUUGAAUCCGGGAGAGGUGAGUGGAAUUCCGAGUGUAGAGGUGAAAUUCGUAGAUAUUGGGAAGAACACCGGUGGCGAAGGCGGCUCACUGGCCCGAUACUGACGCUGAGGCACGAAAGCGUGGGGAGCAAACAGGG
rnacentral:rRNA from 1 species